UAGAUAGCACGCGCGCUAUCCGCUUCGCUUAUUUCAUUUAGAAAUAAACUUAGCUAGAAAUGUGAAUCAACUAGGAUUCGAACUUGAGUCUCGGAUACCAACCACCGAGUUCUUUGCCACUUAAACUAUAUAUAUAUAUAUAUAUAGAGAGAGAGAGAGAGAGAGAGAGAGAGAGAGAGAGAGAGAGGUGAGCUUCGUGUCUGUGACCUUUUUUAACGCCGGAUCGUCUCAAAAUCUGUACAAUAUGAUUAAUAAUGUAUCUAUUUAAAUCUCAUUUAUUAACAUGUAUGGAUCUUAAGGCUAUCCGAUUGUUAAAAAAUUAUAAAUAUACAGAAACUCAAAGCUCUCUCUCUCUCUAUAUAUAUAUAUAUAAUUUCCAAAUGCAGACUUUGCUUGCGCUAUUUAAUUAUCAUGUCCUUGAAGUUUGUCGCUAUGUUGUUCUCGAUCGUCCGAUCUCAUCCCUCCCGGUCCCAGUUGGAACCUGCGAUCGAUCGUGAGGUGACCGUUAAAACGUUGCUCUUCAGCUACAGUGAUUAAUUGUUGUCUCCUAAUUAAUGAAACAGUCCAUUUCCAUCAGAAAAUUAAGGGGAGGAUUAAUCUAAAGGAUUAACUUAAGUAGUGUUAGGUAAAAAAUUACGAUUAAAAAAGGUUGUGUCAAAUCUUGUUUAUACUGUAGCGUACCAUGGAAUUCGAUCCGUUUGAUCUGGUGACUUAUUGUCUUUGAUUUAUUGGUUACAAAACCAUGAAAUUUUUUUGUAGGGCUACAGAAUAUUUUAUCCAUAAAGCCUUAUAAGUAGAUGGGAACCCGAACUAGUUAUAACUCAUUCAUACCGAUCGUCCCUAGAGCAAGUGGCAAAGGACUUGGCGGUUGGUAUCCGAGAUCCAAAUUCGAAUUCUAGUUGAUUUACAUUUUCAGCCAAAUUUAUUUCUAAAUAAAAUAAACGAAGCGGAUAGUGUGCUACCUAUUUCUCAAAAAAAAAAAAGAGAAAAGGUUAUAACUCAUACGUUGUACUUGGUCGCCGCUUCAGUCGCUGAUCGCCUAGCCACUUCUUUUUUUAUUUUUUUUUUCUACCAUCUUUUCAAUCCGUUUGUAUUAUUUAUCAAAUAACUCAAAAAUCAUGUUAAAGUAAGUGUAUAUAUAUAUAUAUAUAUAUAUAUAUAUAUAUAUAUNAUAUAUAUAUAUAUAUAUAUAUAUAUAUAUAUAUAUAUAUAUAUAUAUUAAUACAGAAGAUAAUGAAACUGAUGAUUUACAGUAGUGCAAGUAAUGACCCAGAGUUUUAUUUUCACUAAUUCGUGCUUAUUACAGAAUACGUAGCUCACUAUUAUUAAUAGCAUUAAUUGUGAAACAACCGUUAUACUUUAACCAUUUAAACCGUUAGAGAACGAUAUUUAUAUAAUUUUAUAUUUAACACUCUCCCUCACGUCUGGGCUCGAGAUUUUUUAGUCGGCCCAUGACGUGGGUUUGAAUUAAAUGGGAGAAAAUUAAUAUAUUAUGAGCCUGACAUGACUUGAAUUAAGGACCUCCUGUUAUGAUAUCAUGUGAAACAACCGUUAUACUCUAACAGUUUAAGCUGUUAGAGAACGAUAUUUAUUUAAUUUUAUAUUUAACGUUAAUUAAUCCCCAUUGCUCACAUAAUGGAGCAAGGAUCGGAGCAAGGGGAAUCAACCAUAAUACACAUAGGAGGUGGAUGUGAGCAAGGAGGCGGCGGCGGCGGUGGGGGCUCCUGCUUCGGCUUUGGCUUUGGAUCCGGCGGCGGCGGCGGCGGCUUCACCUCUGCUAGUGUGAGGAGUUGUAUACACCCUAAUUUCUUCUCCAACGACUUGAGCAGUCUGACCCAGUAAAUUCCAGUCCCAGUUAUCACCAGCUUAUCUCCCUCCACUCCCACGUUUUCAACACCUGCAAAUUUUAAGCUAAAAAAUUACGCAAUUUGGUUUGUGUCCUAAUAUUGAUUAAUUAUGGAAGCUUAUUUAAUUAAGCUUCUUUUUACAGUAAAAAAGCUCUAGACCGCAAACCACCGCGUACCUUUCAAAACUGCAAAGAACUAUUAUCUCACUACAAAAAACGUUACAUUUAAGGAUGCUCUUUUUUAUAUUUUACGAUGCUUAAUAUAUUCCAACGUCACUUUUGAAAGCGUCGGCAAAUGAAGAGUUGCCACGCAUAUAUCGACGCUUAUACCAAGCAUCGGUAAAAUAUAUUCUGAUGCUUUAUAGUGUCAGGAUUUUUUAAAUCCUGACGCUCUAAAGCGUCGGAAAAUUAAAAAUAUAUAAUAGUAAAAUUUAUCAUCAUUUAAUAAAUUGUUUGAUAUCAUAUGACGAUACUUUUUGAAGUGUCGGUAUUUUCUAUAUUGUAAAAACACUUAGAGACGCUUUCCCUAAGCGUCGUCUAAAAAGAGUCCUUAUAUUAAAUUUUUUUUUUGUAGUAUCUAGCUAUAUCGAGAAUAUAUAUACCUCCAUGCAAUGAUUAGUUCUUAAAAUGAAAUGUAACUUGAUAGAUAUAGUCAAUAACAUUUAAAGAGCCUUUAGUUUAGAGCAGGGCGAAAUGCAUAACUAGUCAGAGACCCAGUAUCUAAUUAAGUCGCGAAUGUAUAUAUACUUAUUGUCCAAACUUUGGCAUCAAAGUUCUCAAUAAAGCUCCUACAUGUAAUGUUUAUAUUUGGACACAUAUAUAUAUAUAUAUAGAGUUUGACUGGGCUACUAUCGGUAGUAAACUGUUCGGUUUAUUACCGAUUUGUUUUUGAUGAUAGAGCUUCCAAAUCGACGAUCGGCACCGUUGAACAUGAUCUAGACCAUUUAAAUUAUCUAGAAAUCAAUUUUCAUGAUUUUUUGACAUCACUAACUGAACGAUCAAAGGGUCACAAAAUCUAUAAUUUUAAUAGCAGAUAUGGUGCGGUUGCUCGUUUAACGGUAUAGAAGAGUUCAAAUCAAUUAAUUUUUUGUUAAAAAAUUCUUUAAACUAUUUAAAAUAAGAUCUAGACUCUAGAUCUCAAAUAUAAAAAUUGUAUCAUCAUUUUUUGAAGAAUAUUCAUUUCCAGCCAUUCAUUUUUCUGUUCACUUGAUGGACAAGAGAACAGUAUCGAAAAUGUGUGAAAUUUGAUUUCCAGAUAGUUUAAAUAGUUUAGAUCAUGUUUAACGGCCACUAUAGCACCC
rnacentral:lncRNA from 1 species